rnacentral:rRNA from 1 species
GACGAACGCUGGCGGCGUGCUUAACACAUGCAAGCCGAACGGAAAGGCCCUGCUUUUGUGGGGUGCUCGAGUGGCGAACGGGUGAGUAACACGUGAGUAACCUGCCCUUGACUUUGGGAUAACUUCAGGAAACUGGGGCUAAUACCGGAUAGGAGCUCCUGCUGCAUGGUGGGGGUUGGAAAGUUUCGGCGGUUGGGGAUGGACUCGCGGCUUAUCAGCUUGUUGGUGGGGUAGCGGCUUACCAAGGCUUUGACGGGUAGCCGGCCUGAGAGGGUGACCGGCCACAUUGGGACUGAGAUACGGCCCAGACUCCUACGGGAGGCAGCAGUGGGGAAUAUUGCACAAUGGGCGGAAGCCUGAUGCAGCAACGCCGCGUGCGGGAUGACGGCCUUCGGGUUGUAAACCGCUUUCGCCUGUGACGAAGCGUGAGUGACGGUAAUGGGUAAAGAAGCACCGGCUAACUACGUG